UGGUUCUGGCAUCGAUGAAGAACGCAGCGAAAUGCGAUAAGUAAUGUGAAUUGCAGAAUUCAGUGAAUCAUCGAAUCUUUGAACGCACAUUGCGCCCGCCGGCACUCCGGCGGGCAUGCCUGUUCGAGCGUCAUUUCAACCCUCAGGCCCGGCCUGGCGUUGGGGUCCUGCGUCGCAGGCCCCUAAAGACAGCGGCGGUUGCGGCCCGGAGCCGAGCGCAGUAGCAUACUAUUCGCUCCGGUACCGGGCGGCAGUCCGGCCGUAAAACAAACCACUAUGCACUGGUUGACCUCGGAUCAGGUAGGAAUACCCGCUGA
rnacentral:misc_RNA from 1 species